CAACGCGUGCCGAUUACGUCCCUGCUCUUUGUACACACCGCCCGUCGCUGCUACCGAUUGAG
rnacentral:rRNA from 1 species